rnacentral:rRNA from 1 species
UACAGAGGUCCCAAGCGUUGUUCGGAUUCACUGGGCGUAAAGGGUGCGUAGGUGGUGAGGUAAGUCGGAUGUGAAAUCUCCAGCUCAACUUGGAAACUGGCAUUGGAAACUACCUCGCUUGAGGGUUUGAGGGGGGAUUGGAAUACUUGGUGUAGCAGUGAAAUGCGUAGAUAUCAAGUGGAACACCAGUGGCGAAGGCGAAUCCCUGGAAAAUACCUGACACUGAGGCACGAAAGCUAGGGGAGCAAACAGG